rnacentral:rRNA from 1 species
GACAGAGGUGCCGAGCGUUAGGCGGAAUCACUGGGCUUAAAGCGUGUGUAGGCGGGCGGGCAAGUACCUUGUGAAAUCCCACGGCUCAACCGUGGAACGGCUGGGUAUACUGCCUGCUCUUGAGCCAACUAGGGGCGGAGCUGGAACAGACGGUGGAGCGGUGAAAUGCGUAGAUAUCGUCUGGAACGCCAAAGGUGAAAACAGCUCGCUGGGGUUGUGCUGACGCUGAGACACGAAAGCCAGGGGAGCGAACGGG